UACGUAGGGUGCAAGCGUUAAUCGGAAUUACUGGGCGUAAAGCGUACGCAGGCGGCUUUGCAAGACAGGUGUGAAAUCCCCGGGCCUAACCUGGGAACUGCAUUUGUGACUGCAUGGCUAGAGUUUGUCAGAGGGGGGUGGAAUUCCACGUGUAGCAGUGAAAUGCGUAGAUAUGUGGAGGAACACCGAUGGCGAAGGCAGCCCCCUGGGAUGUGACUGACGCUCAUGUACGAAAGCGUGGGAGCAAACAGG
rnacentral:rRNA from 1 species